CCUACGGGAGGCAGCAGUGAGGAAUAUUGGUCAAUGGACGGAAGUCUGAACCAGCCAAGUCGCGUGAAGGAUGAAUGCCCUACGGGUUGUAAACUUCUUUUAUCAGGGAAUAAAAUCAGGCACGAGUUCCUUCUUGUAUGUACUUUAUGAAUAAGGAUCGGCUAACUCCGUGCCAGCAGCCGCGGUAAUACGGAGGAUCCGAGCGUUAUCCGGAUUUAUUGGGUUUAAAGGGUGCGUAGGUGGGUUGUUAAGUCAGUUGUGAAAGGUUGCGGCUCAACCGUAAAAUUGCAGUUGAAACUGGCAGUCUUGAGUACAGGAGAGGUAGGCGGAAUGCGUGGUGUAGCGGUGAAAUGCUUAGAUAUCACGAAGAACUCCGAUUGCGAAGGCAGCUUACUGGACUGCAACUGACACUGAGGCUCGAAAGUGUGGGUAUCAAACAGGAUUAGAUACCCUGGUAGUC
rnacentral:rRNA from 1 species